GAGCAGAAAGGAUACUGAAUGUUUCAGUCAAUGUAUUACACUUAUCGGAUCCCGAAAAAUGGGUCAUCAAAUCAUGGGGGGAUGUUAGUCAUUUGAAUGGAGCCGGGUACUUAGACUCGGGUUUUGGUGGCGAUCGAACUUCUGGUCAGGCUUUUUCGUACAUGUCCAUUUCUUGACUUGCUAGAUGCAUUUAAUAACCAACAUGUCAAGUCUUUGAUGGGCUGUGAAUUAUUAAUGCCCUGAAUUAAUUUGUUUCUAAUCCCAUUAAUUGGGCAAUAGCGAUUUGGUAGAGAGAUAUUAUGUUUGAAUUGUUGGCCCACAUUGCACAUGGUUGCAAAUGAAGAUAAUCUGGAUUAUUAUUGGACUUUCAAGGGUGUUAGAAUCAAUAAUUAAUGACACAGCUAUAAGUUCACAACUAAUUGCGAGAAACUAAUAUUUAAUUCUAGAGGCGUAGGACUACAAAAGAUGAUAUUUGAGAACUGAUAUUUCGGGAAAUUCUCGAAUACCAUCCUCAGCUUUUAAAAGAUUACAUGUGUUAUGGGUCAAUUUGCAUAUUUAGAGGAACACAGUGGAAAACGGCCUAUUGUGCUUUCAGAACGGAAGCAUGUUUCCCUCUCGAGUAUGGACUUUGGAACCGGAAGAAUCCGAAAGGUGAGAGGACAAACUGGGUUAUGCAUGAAUACAUGCUUAUCGAUCAAGAGCUCUAAAAAGGCUGGAAUUAUGCAUGUCAGGGGUCGUUGAUUAUGACUAUUUUUGUCAUUCUUUUUAGUAUAUAUUUUGAUAUUUUUAUAUAGCUGUAGUACAAUGAUUUGUAAGUGCUUUAGUUAUUAGUAUUUAUAAGGUUGUACAA